GAGCACUGUCACAGUGAAACAAGAACUUGGUAUUGUGACAUCGCAAACUGUGGAAGGACCUGCAGGACGUGCUGAGUGUAUGAGGGGGUCUUCCUUUCAGGAGGGGCUGUGAGGGGUCCUGCCUCUCAGGAGGGGCUGUGGGGGGGUCUUCCUUUCAGGAGGGGCUGUGACGGGGUCCUGCCUCUCAGGAGGGGCUGUGAGGGGGUCUUCCUUUCAGGAGGGGCUGUGAGGGGGUCCUGCCUCUCAGGAGGGGCUGUGAGGGGGUCUUCCUUUCAGGAGGGACUGUGGGGCGUCCUGCCUCUCAGGAGGGGGUGGGGGGGGUCUGCCUGCACUGACGCUUUCUUCACCGUGAGAAAGGACUGCCUUAGUUACAGGAAGAGAAGCACUGAGAUGCCCACUCUGACACUUGUUCCAGUAAGCGUGUGGCUGCUGGCAAGUUACUCAGUCGCUGUGAACCUGCUUCUUUCUCUUAAAAAUCAAAAGGAACCCCCCAGGGCUUCGGGGGGGUCGUGCCAGAUGGCACUGGGCAGCAGCAGCCUUUGCCACACAGAAGUGUUCAGAGAGACCUGGAGGGGAAGCCGCCCCGACCCCUGGGAGCCCCGAUGGAACGUUCCGGCCUCACGCCCCGCCUCACCUUGUGUGCCCAGCAGUCCUGCACCUCACACUCCAGGUUGAGGGGCUCGCUCUCUGCGGACAGGGAAUAGACCUCCUGGAGGACUUCUAUUGGAAAAGCUGAUCCUUGAAUACAGACAGACAGAACCCCCUCAUUUUUUUGGCUGUGCUAUGUGGGAGACGGGCUCGGGACGCGGAGAACUCAUCUGCCCCAAAGAAGCGUUCACGUAACAGGAGGAGGAGACCAGAGCAGACCCCGGUGG